rnacentral:rRNA from 1 species
UAGUCCACGCCCUAAACGAUGGAUACUAGUUGUCGGGAAUCCUAAUUUUCUCGGUAACGUAGCUAACGCGUUAAGUAUCCCGCCUGGGGAAUACGGUCGCAAGAUUAAAACUCAAAGGAAUUGACGGGGGCCCGCACAAGCGGUGGAGCAUGUGGUUUAAUUCGAUGCUACGCGAAGAACCUUACCCAGGCUUGACAUCCCGCGCUACCCUAUGAAAGUAGGGGUUCCCUUCGGGGACGCGGUGACAGGUGCUGCAUGGCUGUCGUCAGCUCGUGUUGUGAGAUGUUGGGUUAAGUCCCGCAACGAGCGCAACCCUCGUCGCUAGUUACCAUCAUUAAGUUGGGCACUCUAGCGAGACCGCUGGGCCAUAAGCCAGAGGAAGGUGGGGAUGACGUCAAGUCCGCAUGGCCCUUAUGCCUGGGGCUACACACGUGCUACAAUAGAGAGGACAAAGCGUUGCUAACUCGCAAGAGUGUGCUAAUCGCAAAAACCUUUUUUCAGUUCGGAUUGGAGUCUGCAACUCGA